AGAGUUUGAUCCUGGCUCAGAGCGAACGCUGGCGGCAGGCCUAACACAUGCAAGUCGAGCGCCCGUAGCAAUACGGGAGCGGCAGACGGGUGAGUAACACGUGGGAACGUGCCCUUUGGUUCGGAAUAACUCAGGGAAACUUGAGCUAAUACCGGAUAAGUCCGUAAGGAGAAAGAUUUAUCGCCGAAGGAGCGGCCCGCGUCCGAUUAGCUAGUUGGUGGGGUAAUGGCCCACCAAGGCUACGAUCGGUAGCUGGUCUGAGAGGAUGACCAGCCACACUGGGACUGAGACACGGCCCAGACUCCUACGGGAGGCAGCAGUGGGGAAUAUUGGACAAUGGGCGCAAGCCUGAUCCAGCCAUGCCGCGUGGGUGAUGAAGGCCCUAGGGUUGUAAAGCCCUUUCGGCGGGGAAGAUAAUGACGUACCCGCAGAAGAG
rnacentral:rRNA from 1 species